UACGAAGGUGGCAAGCGUUGUUCGGAUUUACUGGGCGUAAAGGGAGCGUAGGUGGUGCGGUAAGCCCUCCGGGAAAGCUUCAGGCUUAACCUGAAAAGGUCGGGGGGGACUGCCGCGCUAGAGGACGGGAGAGGAGCGCGGAAUUCCCGGUGUAGCGGUGAAAUGCGCAGAUAUCGGGAGGAACACCUAUGGCGAAGGCAGCUCGCUGGGACGUUACUGACGCUGAGACGCGAAAGCGUGGGGAGCAAACAGG
rnacentral:rRNA from 1 species